rnacentral:rRNA from 1 species
GUUGCAGGGUAUAGACCCGAAACCCGGUGAUCUAGCCAUGGGCAGGUUGAAGGUUGGGUAACACUAACUGGAGGACCGAACCGACUAAUGUUGAAAAAUUAGCGGAUGACCUGUGGCUGGGGGUGAAAGGCCAAUCAAACCGGGAGAUAGCUGGUUCUCCCCGAAAGCUAUUUAGGUAGCGCCUCGUGAAUUCAUCUCCGGGGGUAGAGCACUGUUUCGGCUAGGGGGCCAUCCCGGCUUACCAACCCGAUGCAAACUGCGAAUACCGGAGAAUGUUAUCACGGGAGACACACGGCGGGUGCUAACGUCCGUCGUGAAGAGGGAAACAACCCAGACCGCCAGCUAAGGUCCCAAAGUCAUGGUUAAGUGGGAAACGAUGUGGGAAGGCCCAGACAGCCAGGAUGUUGGCUUAGAAGCAGCCAUCAUUUAAAGAAAGCGUAAUAGCUCACUGGUCGAGUCGGCCUGCGCGGAAGAUGUAACGGGGCUAAACCAUGCACCGAAGCUGCGGCAGCGACACUGUGUGUUGUUGGGUAGGGGAGCGUUCUGUAAGCCUGUGAAGGUGUGUCGUGAGGCAUGCUGGAGGUAUCAGAAGUGCGAAUGCUGACAUAAGUAACGAUAAAGCGGGUGAAAAGCCCGCUCGCCGGAAGACCAAGGGUUCCUGUCCAACGUUAAUCGGGGCAGGGUGAGUCGACCCCUAAGGCGAGGCCGAAAGGCGUAGUCGAUGGGAAACGGGUUAAUAUUCCCGUACUUGGUGUUACUGCGAAGGGGGGACGGAGAAGGCUAUGUUGGCCGGGCGACGGUUGUCCCGGUUUAAGCGUGUAGGUGUGUGUUCCAGGUAAAUCCGGUU